ACGGGUGAGUAACACGUGGGCAACCUGCCUGUAAGAUCGGAAUAACCCCGGGAAACCGGGGCUAAUGCCGGGUAAUACUUUCUUUCGCAUGAAGGAAAGUUGAAAGAUGGCUUCUUGCUAUCACUUACAGAUGGGCCCGCGGCGCAUUAGCUAGUUGGUGAGGUAACGGCUCACCAAGGCGACGAUGCGUAGCCGACCUGAGAGGGUGAUCGGCCACACUGGGACUGAGACACGGCCCAGACUCCUACGGGAGGCAGCAGUAGGGAAUCUUCCGCAAUGGACGAAAGUCUGACGGAGCAACGCCGCGUGAACGAUGAAGGUCUUCGGAUCGUAAAGUUCUGUUGUUAGGGAAGAACAAGUACCGUGCGAAUAGAGCGGUACCUUGACGGUACCUAACGAGGAAGCCCCGGCUAACUACGUGCCAGCAGCCGCGGUAAUACGUAGGGGGCAAGCGUUGUCCGGAAUUAUUGGGCGUAAAGCGCGCGCAGGCGGUUCCUUAAGUCUGAUGUGAAAGCCCACGGCUCAACCGUGGAGGGUCAUUGGAAACUGGGGAACUUGAGGACAGAAGAGGAGAGUGGAAUUCCACGUGUAGCGGUGAAAUGCGUAGAUAUGUGGAGGAACACCAGUGGCGAAGGCGACUCUCUGGUCUGUUUCUGACGCUGA
rnacentral:rRNA from 1 species